rnacentral:lncRNA from 1 species
AGGGCCAAACAGUAAUAUUCGGAAAUCAAAUUGUUAAGACAAUCAGAGGGUUUUAAUCGUCAAGCUUCAAGAAACCUAGGGACCAAACCUAUAACCUUCAACACCAUGUUCACUCUUCCUGAUUCGUCGAUGGAAGCUUGUCGUUUUCCCUAUCAUGGUCCUGCAAUUGUUGAUGCAAAUGUAGGGAGCUGGUCCCAUUCCUUUACUCGUUCCAUUGGCCAUUUAAAUCUAGUGUGACUCUCCAAUAUGUAUGGAUCCCUUCUCUUCAAUCUGCAAUUUCAAAAAUUAGUGAGAGAAAGAGAAAUGUAGCAUAGUGAGGGCUUUCGUAUGCGGGUGUGCAAGCUCCGAUGGUCUCUCGAGCCCCCGAUGUUGUUCGUGGUCCCUUCUGACAAGUGUAGACGGGGUCCUUCGGCAGUUGAAUGGAGAGAAUUGUGAAAUCUUUAAAGGUUAUUCCCCUGUCAUCGUCCAAACGAGAGAACCGAUCGAUGGGAGCAGGAACAUCAAGAGUGUUUGAGUGAGGUGAGCUCGAUUUUCAGAGAUGCCGAAGACAUCAGGCUCACAGAGGCAUAUUCUCUUGAGCCACCUGUGAGCACUGAACCCGAAUAAGGACGAGAGAGAAAAGUAAUUCAUCUCGUUUUCUUCUUUCCGCAGCAUAAUCUCAGGUGCAAGUGAGUUUAGAUCCCAUCGAAUCAUGCUUUCAAUUGUGCUUUGUCUCCAUCUCCAUGGCUACACCCAAGAAGCGUUCCAGAUGGAGGGAAUGGGGAUUUGCGGAUGACCAUGGUCAACGGAUGAAAUGGAGACGUUGGGGAUGAGGUGAUUUUCAAGCAUCGAUGAAGGAACCUACUUCAAUUCCAUUGGAGCGUAGGAGGAGUUUAGUGGCGCAUUGCUAGGUCCGACAUGGGAUGCGUCGCUGGAGGUUGAUUGCACCGACCCUCUGAGGACGCAAUGGGCAAUAGAGUUCAAGCAAGGAUGGAGUAUUUUGACCUAAUCCUAAUCCACCUCAUCUUUUAAGGUAUUAGCCUUUAAUUCAUUUGGGCUAAUAUCAUAUAGGUUCAAUUAGUUUAUUUUGGGCUUAUAUCAUAUGGAUUCAAUUAGUUUAUUUUGGGCUUAUAUCAUAUGGAUUCAAUUAGUUUAUUUUGGGCUUAUAUCAUAUGGAUUCAAUUAGUUUAUUUUGGGCUUAUAUCAUAUGGAUUCAAUUAGUUUAUUUUUAGGCUAAGUGACAUUGGGUUUAAGUUCAAGAUAAAUAUAAUAUAUGGUAAAGCCAUAUUAUUUAUAAUUAGAACAAAAAUGGAUUUUUGUUAUCUAAUUUAGUAGAUGGCAAAUAAUUAUGAAUAUGGUUUGCGUAAAUUAAUUACAAGGUAAUUAAUUUAAUAAAAAUUAACUAGAUUGAUAAAGUUGUAUGGAUUUUCUUAGGUCUAGGAUUUUAAUAUAGUAUGGUUAAAAUAUUAACGACUUUUAUGUAUAGUAUUUUAACGAGAAGGACUCUAGGAGUUAGCAUUUCCCCACAUAAUAAUGCAAGUAAAUAAAAAGUACAUUAUGAAAUAUUAAUGAGUAAUAUUUGAAGUAUGAACUAAGUAAGGAGUAUUAAUAUCAUUGUAGGUGACCAGAGAGCAGAGAAUCUGUCUUAGCUGUUUUGGUAGUAUAUUUUGUGUUUUGCUGCUUCAGGUAAGUCUCCUCAUUGUUUGUAUAGGUCUAAGGCACCAAUGUCGGCCCUUUUAGUUUAUGUAUGGUAAGAAGACCCGGUGGUUAGCCCUAGGCAUUAUGCAUGAAAGACCAGGAGGUGGCUCUUGGCACACUGUAUGUUAUUAUGUAUGAAAGACCAGGAAGCUGCUCCCGGCACACUCUAUAUUAUUAUGUAUGGUAGGAAGACCCGGGGGUUAGCCCAAGACAUUAUGUAUGAAGGACCAGGCGGUGGCUCCUGACACACUGUAUUCUAUUAUGUAUGAAAGACCAGGAGGUGGCUCCUGGCACACUGUAUGCUAAUUGGCUAAGUAGAGUAGUAUGUAUGCUAGUUGUCUUUGUGAUGCCUUCAUGGAAGACCAGGAGGUGGCUCUUGGCACUUGUCUGUGAGACCGAUGGGGUGGCCCCCAGCUUAGCAAGAAAGACCACGUGGUGGCUCGUGGCAUAAUGGCAAGACUAUGUUUGGCACAUAGCAUCUUUACUGAUUAUGAUAUAUGUAUGGCUCAUGGUUAUGUAUGACAGUAUGCAAGUAUGUGUUUAUAUGCUAGACAGUAUCCGGUUGAAAGAGACCGAAGGGGUAGGCUAGCACCCAGAUAUGCUAUGCAAUAUGUUGAUAUGUAUGGUAUGUGGUAUUUGUUGGAUUAUGUGUGUAAGCCCAUAACUAUUAUUGGUAUGUAUUCGACCCGAGAGUACCAUGGUCCAUUUAGGUUGCAUAUCAUCAGGACAAUUUGUUAGGAUGGACUUUUGAGAGAAG